CUUGUUUCGUCGUCCCACGAAACAAAAUUUCCAACGUACAAAGACCCCUGUCCGAUAAAAAAAGACGCCCUCUUCACUCUCUCUUUUUCCUUCAUCCCUGUUGAAACACCACGAAAGGAGAGUGUCCUCCUCUGCUCAACCCGACUGCUACCUCCAAGAUUCGAUUGCUACCUCCAAGAAUUGACUGCACACAACCCUCAUGAUCACUUACCCUGCUCCCGUGAACACUACGGAGCUGUCCAUUACCAAAGAUUCGUCCUUCGUCCUUCACCCUACCUUACAUUCAUCCAGCUCCCGUGAACCCUACGAGGGUUUCUUUCUUCAACCUUGAAGAGUCUACAAAAAGGUGGGAAAAGCAUCCAACUUCUUAGGUGAGAUCAUCCUUCAAAGUCUUUCAUUCAGUAGAGGUAGAUUAGUUCAAGCUUCGGUUUACCUUUCCGCAAGCGUAUCUCUCCUCUUCAAGAGUCUGAAAAAAAAAUUAGGGAUUUGGGACUCUUCAGUUCCGCUGCAAGCUAGCAACUACAAUUUUUGGAUCGGCUGAAAGGGAGAACUGCAGAGGACUUACUUAGAGUUAUGAGAUCUCCAAGAACCCCUAACCCCAAAAGCACUACAAUAAUCUGGAAUAAAGCUGAAUAAGAACAUUCAUCAAUCAAAUGGUUGAGAAUGUAAGGAAAGGUUUGAAGACCAAGUCCACCUUCACCAAGAUUGGAUGGGAAAAUAUUUCAAAAGGGUUAGAAGCCGAAUUCAAUAGACCAUUUGCUAAGGAGCAAUUUCGUAACAAAAUGAACAAACUAAGGAAGGAGUACAACAGCUUCAGGCGUCUGUUAGACACGACUGGAUUUGGAUGGGAUGCAAAUGUUAGGACUGCUACAGCUGCUGAUUCUAUGUGGGAAUCUGCUAUUUAGGAGACUGAUCAUGAUGAUAGUGAAGGUUGUAGUGGCACACGCAACAAAUCUGCUCCUCCAAAGCGGGACCUUGGUAGGACUCCUACGAAGCGGAGGAGGAAGAACCAGACACGGACAGUCACAAACUCCGCUUAGGACUUCAGACAGUUUGGCCGAUGGAGGAUGGAAAAGGGCACCUCCGCUGCCACCUCUGCCAUUGUUCGACCUUCUAAUCCUAUUGUUGAUGGACCAUGUAGUAUGAUGAGCUGUCGGAAGCUGCUGGACACUUUAGAUGAUAUCCCACAUGAGUUGUAUGUGUUGGCUCAGCAGAAGAUACACAAUGAUCCUGGUUGAUGCAUGCCUUUUGUGGAAGUGAGGCCGGUUAGGAGGUUGUGGAUGAUAUGGCAUCUGAAGGAGUUACCUCGACCGGAAUCAGUUUGUUAGUCAUUGGUUUUCCAGACAGUUGGACUAGUUUUUUUUUUUUUUUUUAACUUUUACAUCACUUGUUCUAACUUACAUACGUUUCUACCUACUCUUCUUUUUAGUAAUGGUUUAAAGAUUGGGAUGCUUUGACUUC